rnacentral:rRNA from 1 species
AUGCACGCUGGCGGCGUGCCAAAUACAUGCAAGUCGCGCGAACAGACGAGGAGCUUGCUCCUCUGACGUUAGCGGCGGACGGGUGAGUAACACGUGGAUAACCUACCUAUAAGACUGGGAUAACUUCGGGAAACCGGAGCUAAUACCGGAUAAUAUAUUGAACCGCAUGGUUCAAUAGUGAAAGACGGUUUUGCUGUCACUUAUAGAUGGAUCCGCGCCGCAUUAGCUAGUUGGUAAGGUAACGGCUUACCAAGGCAACGAUGCGUAGCCGACCUGAGAGGGUGAUCGGCCACACUGGAACUGAGACACGGUCCAGACUCCUACGGGAGGCAGCAGUAGGGAAUCUUCCGCAAUGGGCGAAAGCCUGACGGAGCAACGCCGCGUGAGUGAUGAAGGUCUUCGGAUCGUAAAACUCUGUUAUUAGGGAAGAACAAAUGUGUAAGUAACUAUGCACGUCUUGACGGUACCUAAUCAGAAAGCCACGGCUAACUACGUG